rnacentral:rRNA from 1 species
AGUGAACGCUGGCGGCGUGCUUAACACAUGCAAGUCGAACGAGAACGGAAUAUCGCUUGCUAUAUUUGUUAGCUAAGUGGCGCACGGGUGAGUAAUGUAUAGAUAACCUGCCCUUAAGAAAGGAAUAACAGUUGGAAACGACUGCUAAUGCCCUAUAUGCCUUUAAUACAUAAGUAUGCAAGGGAAACGCUUUAGUGCUUAAGGAUGGGUCUGUAUGGUAUCAGCUUGUUGGUGAGGUAAUGGCUCACCAAGGCUAUGACGCCUAACUGGUUUGAGAGGAUGAUCGGUCACACUGGAACUGAGACACGGUCCAGACUCCUACGGGAGGCAGCAGUGGGGAAUAUUGCACAAUGGACGAAAGUCUGAUGCAGCAACGCCGCGUGGAGGAUGACACAUUUCGGUGCGUAAACUCCUUUUAUAUAGGAAGAUAAUGACGGUACUAUAUGAAUAAGCACCGGCUAACUCCGUGCCAGCAGCCGCCGUAA